rnacentral:misc_RNA from 1 species
GGAGAGUUGGUUGUAACUCCCGUUGAAAAUACUGGAUUUGUUCCAGAGGAUGCUACCAUAGUAGGGAACACCUGCUUAUAUGGAGCAACAGGUGGUCAAGUAUUUGUCAGAGGUAAAGCAGGAGAGCGUUUUGCUGUGAGGAAUUCUCUUGCUCAAGCUGUUGUAGAAGGCACUGGGGACCACUGUUGUGAGUACAUGACAGGAGGAUGUGUUGUUGUGCUUGGAAAGGUUGGUAGAAAUGUAGCUGCUGGUAUGACUGGAGGUUUGGCAUACAUUCUAGAUGAGGACGAAACAUUUGUACCUAAGGUAAACAAGGAGAUUGUUAAGAUCCAAAGAGUGGUUGCUCCGGUGGGUCAAACACAGCUAAAGAACCUAAUUGAAGCUCAUGUGGAAAAAACUGGCAGCACAAAAGGCUCUGUUAUCCUCAAAGACUGGGACAAAUAUUUGCCACUCUUUUGGCAAUUGGUUCCACCCAGUGAAGAAGACACCCCUGAGGCCAGUGCUGAAUAUGAGCAACUAGCUUCUGGGCAGGAGGUCACUUUGCAAUCUGCAGAAAUGCCAUUAAAAUAAAUUUAAAUACCAAUUAUAUGCACACAGGCACAACCAUGACCACGGUCUAAUGAGAAGACAGUUUGUACAGGAAAUUCAUUUUGAAUUUUUAGAAUCAGAUUGUCUGCAAAAGAAAACAGUGAAAUCUGAGAGAGAAAUACUUAAGGAUGCAAGCUUACCUUUAUCAAAGAAGGGACACAUAUCUUUCGUGGUGCUUCAGCAGUUGUACAGUGAUGAUGGAGAAAUUGUAAAUUCUUGAUUAAUUAUGGCAUAGUCGUGCCUUUGCCAAGAUUGCUUCACUGAAGAACUUGGAAGUUCACACAAUGUUAAUGCUUCUACUAGUCCUGGCCAUUAAAUCUCUUUUGGUUUUUGCGUUCCAUUGGGCUUUCAUUCUCAUGUCUAAUAAGUUGUAGUAACUUAUAUUGUGACUUUGACUCUGAUUCAAGAAUGUGUAAAUUAGAACAGCAAAGAUUUGCUUGUUCGGAAUAUAUCGAUAUAUAGCAGUGCAAAAUGCUUCUUUGAUUUAAGCGUGAAAUAAUAA